rnacentral:rRNA from 1 species
CUACGGGUGGCACCAGUGAGGAAUAUUGCACAAUGGGGGGAACCCUGAUGCAGCAACGCCGCGUGGAGGAUGACGCAUUUCGGUGUGUAAACUCCUUUUAUAUGUCAAGAAAAUGACGGUAGCAUAUGAAUAAGCACCGGCUAACUCCGUGCCAGCAGCCGCGGUAAUACGGAGGGGGCAAGCGUUACUCGGAAUCACUGGGCGUAAAGGACGCGUAGGCGGGUUGAAAAGUCAGGUGUGAAAGCCUACAGCUUAACUGUAGAACUGCACUUGAAACUCUCAAUCUAGAGUAUGGGAGGGGAGAUGGAAUUAGUGGUGUAGGGGUAAAAUCCGUAGAUAUCACUAGGAAUACCUAAAGCGAAGGCGAUCUCCUGGAACAUUACUGACGCUAAGGCGUGAAAGCGUGGGGAGCAAACAGGAUUAGAUACCCUGGUAGUC